GAGCCCCCCCGGCUGCGGGCGAGGAGCUCUCGGGUGAGAGCUCUCUGGCAGAGAGAGAACCAAGGGACAGGGCCACGGGCAGGGCCCCGGGUGAGGGACAGGCAGGGCCAUUGCAGGGCCACGGUGAGGGCACAGCCUGUGUCAGCAGAGCUGCCCAGGGCCGGGGGCAGCCGGGGGUGUUGGGACCAGGCAGUGGUGGGGCCGAGCAGAGCAGGAGGCCUCUUG